CAGCUUGUUGGUGAGGUAAUGGCUCACCAAGGCGACGACGGGUAGCCGGCCUGAGAGGGUGACCGGCCACACUGGGACUGAGACACGGCCCAGACUCCUACGGGAGGCAGCAGUGGGGAAUAUUGCACAAUGGGCGAAAGCCUGAUGCAGCGACGCCGCGUGAGGGAUGACGGCCUUCGGGUUGUAAACCUCUUUCAGUAGGGAACAAGGCCAGCAUGUUUGUUGGUUGAGGGUACUUGCAGAAGAAGCGCCGGCUAACUACGUGCCAGCAGCCGCGGUAAUACGUAGGGCGCAAGCGUUAUCCGGAAUUAUUGGGCGUAAAGAGCUCGUAGGCGGUUUGUCGCGUCUGCCGUGAAAGUCCGGGGCUCAACCCCGGAUCUGCGGUGGGUACGGGCAGACUAGAGUGAUGUAGGGGAGACUGGAAUUCCUGGUGUAGCGGUGAAAUGCGCAGAUAUCAGGAGGAACACCGAUGGCGAAGGCAGGUCUCUGGGCAUUAACUGACGCUGAGGAGCGAAAGCAUGGGGAGCGAACAGGAUUAGAUACCCUGGUAGUCCAUGCCGUAAACGUUGGGCACUAGGUGUGGGGGACAUUCCACGUUUUCCGCGCCGUAGCUAACGCAUUAAGUGCCCCGCCU
rnacentral:rRNA from 1 species